CGGCCGUUGUCGCUAGAAAAGAGACAUCAUGAUGAUAUUGACAAUCUGCUGUGAUGUUUCGCUGCUGUAACAAACUCGGGAAAACUAGGAUGCCCUGUUCUGGAUGGAGUAUAUGGGAAUUACAGUAAGGAAAUUUUCCCCUCCUCUUUUGUUGGCUGCCCUUGCUAGAACGAACAAAUAAUGGGGAUAUAGAGAGUAUGAUGCCGAGUCGUUGGUAACUGAUGUCCGCCCUGAUACUUUCUUCGUUCCAGUCGUUGCUCUGGAACUUAUUGACUGCUGAAGAAAACUGGAGAGUUCCUUUAUAUUCUUCAAUGUAAAAUAUAUGCUCGUCGAUGCCUUCGAGGGUGGCAAUAUUUUUAAUAGCUCUCUAUAUUUGACUCAUCUGCCUCUUUCAUGGUAAAGAAGCGCCGUGGUCGGGUAAAGUAGAAAUAACGAAAGUAUCCGUCGUCACUAAAGCUCUUCCCUCUCCUUCGCUCUGGUGCGGCACACCUGCUCACGUGCCCAGGCUCCUUCUGCCGAAGAAGGCUGCGUACUAUGAAAUGUACGACAAGUAACCCGAUGAUUACAGUUGUCGGUGGAAGGCAGCUGUCAAGUGCGUUGAUUGGUCAGAUGGGCAAGGGCGAUUCAAGUGGGGCAGAUGACCACGACGACAAUUUACUGAAUAAUUGAAUAAGCUUUCUUCCAGUAUGUCGCGUCGCCUAUUUCGGUGUUCCGUAACGUAAUGUAUGGGCUCAUCAUGGAUAACUUCCGGCUUCCGGUCCGUUUUUCUGGCUGCUCUUUCACUGGAAUCAGGCAGGGAUUUUUUGUUCUUUCACCUUCUGGAAUAUUCGCGACAUGCACUUGGUCA
rnacentral:sRNA from 1 species